UUGUCCUUGGGGGCGCUUUAGUUGUUUGACGGGUGCACGGUGCGCGCGGUUUGUGUGUGUGUGUGCCAUGCUGUGUUCUGCAAUGCUUCGUUACCACGUUUAUCGAUUAUGCACGUUGGUUACUUGAUUCAAUGUCAAGUGUACCUUCCAAGACGAUCUAGGUCCUAGUCUCGUGACUGAAGGCGAGUGCGGACGUACAGCAGCCUUUUGACAAGACUGUCGCCGAGUGUACGGUACAUUGUGGACUGUAAAGCUGAAGAGUGCACAGUGGAUGCCUGAUUUUGGAACCGAGUGUGAUCGUCUGGGCGGUGUGUUCACUCUGCGGGGAUGAUGGCCAGAGGAAGGAUGAUAGACAGACGACAGCUUGCAGACGAAGAUGGGAGCGUUCUACCUGUGAGCCUGGUCGAGCUUAUAUUUUAUGGUAGGCAUUUGUUUCAAUCUUUACAAAAAGCUUCGACAUGUUGCGCCUGCUCAUGAACCUAUUGCAA